UCAAGCCGGGCACAUGUCCACUCAGCCUUGGGGCAGCACCAUUUUCUACGGGAUCAGCAUCCUGAGAGAGGCUGCAGCCCUUGACCCUGUUGGCCAGGUAGCAGGGCGCAUUCCCAUCCCACAGCAAGAUCAAGUGGUCGACAGCCAAGUCAGGGGUCGUGGAGCCGCCCGACAGAGUCCGGGAGCAGUACCCUCUGUGGACUGGGGGCAGGAAGGCCUGCUUCCUCCCGCCCAGCUGGAGCGCGCGGCUGGGGUGAUGCGCGCGCGCCCGCCGCUCACCGCCGGCGGCCCUGGGCGGCCGACGACGGGAGGGCGCGACGCCGGGGCUGAGCCUCCCAGUCGCCUCAGAGGGUGACACACCCGUCCGCCUCGAGUAAAUGCAGAUUUCCAGAGCAGACUCCUGGGACCGACGUUGGUGUUCUCACCAGGAAGACCCACUGGCGCUGGGAGUUCCCUCAUAUCUGAAGUUCAACAGGGCAUCCAAGAGUAAAGGCUGAGAUGGAAAUAUGGAUCUGAGCCCAGGAGAGACCCAAACUGGAGCUGUGAUUAAAGAGAGUGUCACUGACGCUUGGAAAGUGAAUGGCAUCUCCCAGAUUGGAGAGAAGACAGAGAGGGCUGAGGACAGAACCCUGGGAACACCAGUGGCUUGGCAGUGUAAGGAGAAAGAAGAGAGCACUGUCUGGUAGGGAAGAACGUUCGCAGAUGGAGGUAGUUGGGGUGUUAGGUCCUGGGAGAGGACCACGAUGCCAGAGCCACGAUGAAGCUGCGAUGAGGAUUUGUAAUGGUGGGAUCCUUGUUGCCAACCUUGAGAGAGCAUUUCAGUAGAGUGGGGUGGACGGAAACCAACUUACGUGGUUUGCUGGCUGAAAAGAAGGUGAGGAAUAUAAAACUAUUCUGUCAAGAUGUUUGGAGGCAGGGUAAAAGGGAAGAACCAGAGCACGUUGCUGACAGGGAAGAAGGUGGAUGAGAUUGAUGUUGGAGAGGGGAAGCAGCUGGGAUACAAGGAGGCAAAAGGGACAAAUUAAGAACAGGGAGAAUUUCCUCUUGGAAAGAUAAGCACUUAUCACAGAGUGUAAUUUACAUCUAUUGGUGUGAUUCUGACCACCAGUCCAAGGCUCUGUCUUUUUUCGGUCAUUACUUUAUCCCCAGUGCCCAGGGAAACAUCAGGCACUGGAACUUCCCUGGUGGCGCAGUGGUUAAGAAUCCGCCUGCCAAUGCAGGGCACAUGGGUUCAAGCC